UACGUUGGCAGCGAGCGUUGUUCGGAAUUACUGGGCGUAAAGAGUGUGUAGGCGGUGCUCUAAGUUCGGUGUGAAAUCUCCCGGCUUAACUGGGAGGGUGCGCCGGAAACUGGAGUGCUCGAGCGUGGGAGAGGAAAGCGGAAUUCCUGGUGUAGCGGUGAAAUGCGUAGAUAUCAGGAGGAACACCUGCGGUGUAGACGGCUUUCUGGACCAUUGCUGACGCUGAGACACGAAAGCGUGGGUAGCAAACAGG
rnacentral:rRNA from 1 species